UACGUAGGGAGCAAGCGUUGUCCGGAUUUACUGGGUGUAAAGGGAGCGUAGGCGGCGAUGCAAGUCAGAAGUGAAAGCCCGGGGCUCAACUCCGGGACUGCUUUUGAAACUGUAUGGCUAGAUUACAGGAGAGGCAAGUGGAAUUCCUAGUGUAGCGGUGAAAUGCGUAGAUAUUAGGAGGAACACCAGUGGCGAAGGCGGCUUGCUGGACUGUAAAUGACGCUGAGGCUCGAAAGCGUGGGGAGCAAACA
rnacentral:rRNA from 1 species